AGUGAACGCUGGCGGUAGGCCUAACACAUGCAAGUCGAACGGCAGCACAGUAAGAGCUUGCUCUUACGGGUGGCGAGUGGCGGACGGGUGAGGAAUACAUCGGAAUCUACUUUUUCGUGGGGGAUAACGUAGGGAAACUUACGCUAAUACCGCAUACGACCUACGGGUGAAAGCAGGGGAUCUUCGGAUCUUGCGCGAUUGAAUGAGCCGAUGUCGGAUUAGCUAGUUGGCGGGGUAAAGGCCCACCAAGGCGACGAUCCGUAGCUGGUCUGAGAGGAUGAUCAGCCACACUGGAACUGAGACACGGUCCAGACUCCUACGGGAGGCAGCAGUGGGGAAUAUUGGACAAUGGGCGCAAGCCUGAUCCAGCAAUACCGCGUGGGUGAAGAAGGUCUUCGGGUUGUAAAGCCCUUUUGUUGGGGAAGAAAAGCAGCAGGUGAAUACCCCGAUGUUCUGACGGUACCCAAAGAAUAAGCACCGGCUAACUUCGUG
rnacentral:rRNA from 1 species